CAUUAGGCCCGAUGGCGCGACGCCCAGCGAAGUCCGGUGAGAAUCCGGCGCUGUCCCGCAACCGUGAAGCCCCCACCGAGGGGACGAGUCGGGUCGCCUGACGUCGGGCCGGAUUGGAAGCCUUCGGAGGAAGGGUUGCCAGCCAUC
rnacentral:sRNA from 2 species